UGGGGAAUUUUGGACAAUGGGCGAAAGCCUGAUCCAGCAAUGCCGCGUGUGUGAAGAAGGCCUUCGGGUUGUAAAGCACUUUUGUCCGGAAAGAAAUCCUUGGCUCUAAUACAGUCGGGGGAUGACGGUACCGGAAGAAUAAGCACCGGCUAACUACGUGCCAGCAGCCGCGGUAAUACGUAGGGUGCAAGCGUUAAUCGGAAUUACUGGGCGUAAAGCGUGCGCAGGCGGUUUGCUAAGACCGAUGUGAAAUCCCCGGGCUCAACCUGGGGACUGCAUUGGUGACUGGCAGGCUAGAGUAUGGCAGAGGGGGGUAGAAUUCCACGUGUAGCAGUGAAAUGCGUAGAGAUGUGGAGGAAUACCGAUGGCGAAGGCAGCCCCCUGGGCCAAUACUGACGCUCAUGCACGAAAGCGUGGGGAGCAAACAGGAUUAGAUACCCUGGUAGUCCACGCCCUAAACGAUGUCAACUAGUUGUUGGGGAUUCAUUUCCUUAGUAACGUAGCUAACGCGUGAAGUUGACCGCCUGGGGAGUACGGUCGCAAGAUUAAAACUCAAAUGAAUUGACGGGGUCAUAGCUGUUUCCU
rnacentral:rRNA from 1 species